rnacentral:rRNA from 1 species
UACGGAGGGGGCUAGCGUUGUUCGGAAUUACUGGGCGUAAAGCGCACGUAGGCGGCUUUGUAAGUUAGAGGUGAAAGCCCGGAGCUCAACUCCGGAAUUGCCUUUAAGACUGCAUCGCUUGAACAUCGGAGAGGUGAGUGGAAUUCCGAGUGUAGAGGUGAAAUUCGUAGAUAUUCGGAAGAACACCAGUGGCGAAGGCGGCUCACUGGCCCGGUACUGACGCUGAGGUGCGAAAGCGUGGGGAGCAAACAGG